rnacentral:rRNA from 1 species
AUGGCUGCUGACAAGCUUGCUGCCUUGGUUGUGGUAGCAUUGCUUGGUUGUGUGGCGCACACAUGCCAAGCGAGCUAUGGGUAUCCCAACCCAUUGCCGCCCACCCCAAGCCCACCACCUCCUGCGGCACCCGCACCAGCGGUACUCACCGUGGGCUACUACCAAACGAAGUGCCAUAACGCGGAGAAGAUCGUGAGGGAGGUCGUCGAGGAGGCUGCAAAGGCCGACCCUGGCAUCAGCGCCGCGCUCAUCCGCCUCUUCUUCCACGACUGUUUUGUCAGGGGUUGCGAUGCCUCGGUUCUCCUUGACAACACCACGGCCAACCCGCAGACGGAGAAGUUCGGCAUCCCCAACUUCCCCAGCCUCCGCGGUUAA